AUGCCUUCCCUAAAGGGAGUGCCAACUCGCCAACUGUACACACGGACACAGUCCUGUGAAGGCAGAUGCCAGAAACCUGAGAAGCUGGGGCUGAAUGCUGAAAAGGCUCCUUGGUGCCUGCCCGUUUCUUUCACCUCCAUCAGCUGCGCAGGGACGAGUUCUAACUGGCACGGGAAUCCAUCACUGUGCCUGUGCUUAAGAGGAAAGGUGCCUGUGGCUGGCACUCUCCCAGAGGCUGUGCCCACCCGUACCCCCUGCACAGACAGGGUGGCUUGCCCUUGGGAGCUACAACCUGCUCCGGUUGCCCGAGACUCCCCACAGGCUGAACCACCCCUCCUUCUACUCUGCCCCACAAGCCACCUCCUCUUGGAAUUUCCACACCUGCUCCAGGCUUGCCCACAAGCAGGAAACGCAGCAGGAGACACCCCUGGGAGAGGAGAGCAAUUCUACAGGAAAAGUUACUCAUCCCGACGUGAAGACUUGUGAAGGAAACAGAUGCCACUGCUGCAACCUCCACAGAGGGCCUCCUGGCUUUGGAAACAAUAAUUCCCACCCAAGAACUCAAAUAUAAUUCUGUCUGCAAUCCAACCCAAAUGCCACUUGAUCGCUUUAUUUUCACAGCAGGGGAAAGUGAGGAAAAGAAAGCAUCUGCAC
rnacentral:lncRNA from 1 species